rnacentral:rRNA from 1 species
CAGGCUUAACACAUGCAAGUCGAGGGGCAGCAUGGUCUUAGCUUGCUAAGGCCGAUGGCGACCGGCGCACGGGUGAGUAACACGUAUCCAACCUGCCGUCUACUCUUGGACAGCCUUCUGAAAGGAAGAUUAAUACAAGAUGGCAUCAUGAGUCCGCAUGUUCACAUGAUUAAAGGUAUUCCGGUAGACGAUGGGGAUGCGUUCCAUUAGAUAGUAGGCGGGGUAACGGCCCACCUAGUCUUCGAUGGAUAGGGGUUCUGAGAGGAAGGUCCCCCACAUUGGAACUGAGACACGGUCCAAACUCCUACGGGAGGCAGCAGUGAGGAAUAUUGGUCAAUGGGCGAGAGCCUGAACCAGCCAAGUAGCGUGAAGGAUGACUGCCCUAUGGGUUGUAAACUUCUUUUAUAAAGGAAUAAAGUCGGGUAUGCAUACCCGUUUGCAUGUACUUUAUGAAUAAGGAUCGGCUAACUCCGUGCCAGCAGCCGCGGUAAUACGGAGGAUCCGAGCGUUAUCCGGAUUUAUUGGGUUUAAAGGGAGCGUAGAUGGAUGUUUAAGUCAGUUGUGAAAGUUUGCGGCUCAACCGUAAAAUUGCAGUUGAUACUGGAUAUCUUGAGUGCAGUUGAGGCAGGCGGAAUUCGUGGUGUAGCGGUGAAAUGCUUAGAUAUCACGAAGAACUCCGAUUGCGAAGGCAGCCUGCUAAGCUGCAACUGACAUUGAGGCUCGAAAGUGUGGGUAUCAAACAGGAUUAGAUACCCUGGUAGUCCACACGGUAAACGAUGAAUACUCGCUGUUUGCGAUAUACAGCAAGCGGCCAAGCGAAAGCGUUAAGUAUUCCACCUGGGGAGUACGCCGGCAACGGUGAAACUCAAAGGAAUUGACGGGGGCCCGCACAAGCGGGGGAACAUGUGGUUUAAUUCGAUGAUACGCGAGGAACCUUACCCGGGCUUAAAUUGCAGAUGAAUUACGGUGAAAGCCGUAAGCCGCAAGGCAUCUGUGAAGGUGCUGCAUGGUUGUCGUCAGCUCGUGCCGUGAGGUGUCGGCUUAAGUGCCAUAACGAGCGCAACCCUUGUUGUCAGUUACUAACAGGUUCCGCUGAGGACUCUGACAAGACUGCCAUCGUAAGAUGUGAGGAAGGUGGGGAUGACGUCAAAUCAGCACGGCCCUUACGUCCGGGGCUACACACGUGUUACAAUGGGGGGUACAGAGGGCCGCUACCACGCGAGUGGAUGCCAAUCCCAAAAACCUCUCUCAGUUCGGACUGGAGUCUGCAACCCGACUCCACGAAGCUGGAUUCGCUAGUAAUCGCGCAUCAGCCACGGCGCGGUGAAUACGUUCCCGGGCCUUGUACACACCGCCCGUCAAGCCAUGGGAGCCGGGGGUACCUGAAGUGCGUAACCGCGAGGAGCGCCCUAGGGUAAAACUGGUGACUGGGGCUAAG